AUUGAGCGCUGGCGGCAGGCUUAACACAUGCAAGUCGAGCGGGGUGAUGGUGCUUGCACUAUCACUUAGCGGCGGACGGGUGAGUAAUGCUUAGGAAUCUGCCUAUUAGUGGGGGACAACAUCUCGAAAGGGAUGCUAAUACCGCAUACGUCCUACGGGAGAAAGCAGGGGAUCACUUGUGACCUUGCGCUAAUAGAUGAGCCUAAGUCGGAUUAGCUAGUUGGUGGGGUAAAGGCCUACCAAGGCGACGAUCUGUAGCGGGUCUGAGAGGAUGAUCCGCCACACUGGGACUGAGACACGGCCCAGACUCCUACGGGAGGCAGCAGUGGGGAAUAUUGGACAAUGGGGGGAACCCUGAUCCAGCCAUGCCGCGUGAGUGAAGAAGGCCUUAUGGUUGUAAAGCACUUUAAGCGAGGAGGAGGCUCUUUUGGUUAAUACCCAAGAUGAGUGGACGUUACUCGCAGAAUAAGCACCGGCUAACUCUGUGCCAGCCGCCGCAGUAA
rnacentral:rRNA from 1 species